rnacentral:lncRNA from 1 species
GCCAUCAUAAACCACACCUAAAUAACCAAUACAUAAUCAAUAUAUAUAUUCGUCAUAUAGCCUAUAGGAACAUACACCAUGAGUAAAAAAAAAUACAUCCAUCAUUUACCUCAUUACUCAAGCCGAAUUAUAUGACCAUCCACACAAGAUAUACCAUAUAACAUACUUCCAAAAUAACCUAAUUACAUGGUCGAUUUAUACAUCAUACUUAACAUUACUUUCAAGCCAUUUCGCAUGGCUAUAUAUAUACCAUUCAAAACAAAGCUUAUCGAAAAUAGCUUAUACAUCAUUUACAAGCCAACUCACAUGGCUAAUUUCAUAUCUCAAAACAUAUCCUAUUGACACUAACCUAUACAUGUCAUAUACCAUAUAUACACAACUCAAAAGUACCAAGUAGAUGGUUGGAUAGUGUGAAGUAGUCUCUGACGAUUCCCGAAUUUGAGCUAGCCUUGAAUUCACUAUAAAACACAGGAAAAACAAACAAGGUAAGCUACAAAUCUUAGUAAGUUCGUACUAAAUAUACUCAACAAUUCAUAAAACACAAAUCAUUAAUUUGAACAAUUUAAUGUAUAAUUCAUGAUAAUAUCAAACAUUCCAUAAGCUUAUUCAUAUACUUAUAUGCAAAGUUUUAACCUAUUCUAUUUGAAAUUCAUACUUACAUGUACAUACCUGUACAAAUUCAUAACGAAUUCAUAUAUUCGCGUAACACUAUCGAAUACUCAAUGUUUCGCACACUAAAUGCCAUCGCAUAGCCGAAGCUAUUAUAAUCCCACACACUAAGUGUCUUACAUAGCCGAAACUAUCUCUGUCUCGCACACUAAAUGCCAUAAAUAGCCGAAUUAGCUAUCUCAAAUCGCACACUAAGUGCUAAACAUAGUCGAUUAAUCGUCAAACAUGAUUGUAUUCUAUACAAUUUAUGCAAUAUCAAAGCAUUAAAAGCAUAAUUGUAACAAUGUUUAUCACGUACGAACUUACCUGGGAUGCUAAAAUGGUGAAUCGAGUCGUUUAGUCGAUAACUUCAGUUUUCCCCCGAUCUAGGUCUAAAUUUCGCUUUUCUUGAUCUAUAUAAUAUCAAAUUCAGCUUAUUCAAUCACUAAUUUAUUCAAUUUAAUCCAAAACACACAUUUGGGCACGUUUACACUUUUCCCCCAAAGUUUCACAUUUUUACAAUUUAGUCCAUAUUUCACAAAUACACAAAAUUCAUGAAAUUUAAUACCUUCCUAAGUUAGCCGAAUUUUCCUAGUGCACAUAUCAGCCCAUAUUUAUCAUUUAUUCACACAUUUAACCACAUGUUUUCACAUUUUCACAAAUAAAUCCCUAUUUGACUUUUUUUGUCAAAAAUCACUUAACAAAAUAUGAUAAUCUAUCAACAAAUAUCCAUUUUUCAUCAUCAAACAUUUAAAAGCUUAAACAUUCAUCAAUGGCACUUCAUAAAAACAUUGACAAUUUCAAAAAUUAAGGCAUGGGCUAGCUAGAAUAUAAAGCAACAAUCUCAAAAACGUAAAAAUCAUCAAAAAUCGAGCUCAAAACACUUACCAAUUAAGUCCUAAUUGACCGAACCCUAAAAUGAACUAAAUGUUUUCUUCUUCCAUUAUAUUCGGCCAAAGAAAGAUGAAAUGAAGGUUAGUUUUGGUUUUGUUUUAAUUUAAUUAAAUUUAAAUCACAA